UACAUCAGCUGGUGCUGCAGUAAGAUCUUCUGUGGAAUGACUAUAACCCCAGCCCAAGAAGCUGUAUUCUGUUUGUCUCCUCGUGCCUCCUCUGAGCCAAUCUGUGAGUCUUCUAGUCUGUCAGCUCUUGAUCUUUUAGGCUCCGAAGUAAAAUGAGUAAAAAGCUAUCCCUGUGAGAACCUUUAAUUAGCAACAUUCUCUGCAUAUCACAGGAUGAAAACAGCAGUCAGUGUAGGGCCACCACUAUCAGAAUCACCCGGCAAAGUCACCCAGGAAACCACGGAGUCCCUGCAGGCUAAAGUCUCAUCAACGACUGUCUUCUGUGGGAGACAUUCUGCUGGCUCUGCAGAGGACAAAGAAGACAGGAAAGAAGAAAACGAGACAGCAAUCAGAAAGGAGAGACGCAUAUUGAAUCUUGCUGAACAGCCCAGUCACAGGUCGAUCUUGAGCAAGUUCCAAGCAAUCUAGUUAUAGAAAUGUAUUCAUAUUCGAUCAACUAUGACAUGAAAGAUUGGAGAUCUGGAAAAUUAACACCAGGAAAGCAAUGCAGCUUCAGCUCUGGAAUGGCACCUUCUGGGAAGCAAAUGCCAAAGGAAAAUCAAGUAAGGAGCCUGUGCUCACUAAUGUCAACCAGAGAUGGAAACUAAUGGCGACUCAUUGCUGAUCACACUACCCUGACCUCAGAUGCCAUGGAGAGGAGUUCACAGUAAACCACCCACGGUGGAGUGGGAAGUGUGAUCCACCCAUAGAAAGAGCAGUAAAUGUUUGUGCACAAUAAAACA